GUGUGGGGGAGUGAGAGCUCAGCUUUUCUUAAGGACGGCCCUGAAUUCGUGCAACUAUGCCAAAGUAAAUCAGUCCUUAACAGGUACGGAAACAGGACUGUUUCUAGUCCCCCGAGGGCAAGGUGUUUGGAACGGGUGACGCCUUCCGUAGUGCGCUGUUUGUAUGCGACGCGCGAUCGCACGUCCUAAAGACCCCACACGUUCCCUGACUCAUCGCCGGAAACUUUCAGUCUUUCUCCCGGUGCCGUGGACAAUGGACAGUGAAUUUGUCACAAGUACGACUCUUCAGAAAGCAAUAGAGACAAGAUUGGUUCAUCAAUGUUAAGCAAAUUGAAAACUCAGUAAACCAAUGACAGCGAAUCCAACCAAGAACAAGGCAGCAUGACAGGACGAAGAGAGAGUUGCUAUAUGAAGAAGGAAGAGAACUGAAACAUCUCGGUAAAGUGACAAUUUUCAUAAGUGAAAAACACACCUUGAAAUGCAGAAGGAAAUGGUAUGAAGAAGUUAUCUUUAUUAGGCAGACAUUUCUUUAAAUUUCAGUUCUCUGGAGGUAGAGAAGGCAAGAUGUCGGCAUAGCUGAUGUGACGUUAAAACUCCGGCUGUGUCACAUCAAGCCAACUUUCACUUCCAGACAAACACCAAAUGAUGUCAUAUGAAGAGGACAGAUAAUAAACUGCAGAGUGACUUCAGGUGAUUCAUAACAUGUGAUCCUCAGUUGCAUCUUGCAUCACUUGUCUGUUGAUUACGAUCCUCUGGAAAUGAGGUGUGGAAUCUUCUUCCAUCAUGAAGAGGCAUCUCAACCUUUUGGCCACCAACUUAUGGCUCAUUUGAAUCAGCAAUACAAAAAUUACUGGAUUGGUCACAGUGGUUCAGCACCUGCACUACCAAGAUCUCUGGACCUAACCAUGCUUAAUUUUUUAUGAGGUCUAAUGAAUGAGACAAUCUACAGGACCAAAGUAAACACAAAACAGGAACUUUUGUUUAAAAUGAG